GAAAAUACUGAGCUGUUCUCUGUGUGGUACAGGCAGUGUGAGGCAUUCUGAAAGGAGCAUUAAUCUUGCCUGGAAGGACCGACCUGCUGGCAGCCAAUUCAUCAGCAACACUCCCUGGAAGCUGCUGGCCCACACUUUCCAUCAGUGAUUCAGAAAUGUUAAGAAGAGCAGAAUACCUACAGUCUUCAAAUCUGAGCUCCUCUGUGUGCGGACCAUGGUCAGUUAACCCAUUCUAUCUGCAUUUGCACUGAAUCAGACAAAUUCCAGUGUUCCAACCGGCCUCUCCGUGGACCAUUCACAGAUCCUUCAUUUUCUCAGCCAAACUUAAAGG
rnacentral:lncRNA from 1 species